GGAUAUCCCCCUGUCUUGUAUUCCAAAGCCCUCGAGUAGUACCUGCUACAGAAGAUAUACUGUAUGAGCUCAGGAUUGUGGUGGAUCUGGAGUUUCUCCAAAGGACACUGGCUACAAGGCAGAACAACUCUCCAAGAAAGACAUGGAGACAGAGCUGGAAUGGUGUGAGGGAGCUAGACGACAUUUCACGUCUCUGGGAAAAAUACACAGACAGGAGAAAAAGGAUGUGAAUUAGCAGAGGAUAAUGCCUAACCUGUGCUUAUUUGAGGUAAAGACGGUUGUUGUUUGUUGAAAAAAAGAGAUUCAGGAAAAUUGUAUUAUCUUGGAUUCAUGUAUAA